rnacentral:rRNA from 1 species
UGGGUAACCUGCCUCAAAGAGGGGAAUAGCCUCCCGAAAGGGAGAUUAAUACCGCGUAAUAUGUUUAAGUCGCAUGACUUUAACAUCAAAGGAUUUUCUUUUAGAACUUCCACUUUGAGAUGGACCCGCGGCGCAUUAGCUAGUUGGUGAGGUAACGGCUCACCAAGGCAACGAUGCGUAGCCGACCUGAGAGGGUGAUCGGCCACAUUGGAACUGAGACACGGUCCAGACUCCUACGGGAGCAG